UCCUAACUUAGCACCCAGGUUUCCAUGUGAGAACACCAGGAUAUGCAUCAGAUUGUUCUGAUUUUUCAAGAAAAAUGUGGAGCCUUAGAUGACAGCUCCUAAUUUUUAUGUAUUGCAUACUUGUUUGUAAAUAUCAUUGAUGAAUCAAAGAUAUGGAUGGGGGGGUGAUCAGGCUGGCAGCCUCCCCUCUGAGACCGCCGGCCUGGCACCUCCACAUACCUGAAAAAGAUCUUUGAUUUACCUUUGCACAAUCAAGUUCCAGGAGAGGGCUUUCUUUGUUGUUUUGGUUCUUGGUGUUUCCUCAGAACAAGGAAGAAAUCUGCCCUCAAAGGUGAAUUCAAGUCUACACCUCCACAGAUACAGAAAAAUUGCCGACACCUUCAGAAUGGACGUUUCUUUUCCACUUCUAGCCAUCAUUUGAAAAUAAUAUCAGGCUUUAGGCGUAAUCAGAAAAUUCUAUUAUAAAUGUCAACAAUUCUUUCUCUGAUAGUUUUAUGGCCUGGAAUAGCCAGAUUUCAGGCCAAAAUAUGGAGUUUUUGGCCAGCCCUUGGGAGACAUGCACGGGCCACACAUAUUCCAUCAGCCCCUUCUGUGUAACCCUGUUUAGCUUUCCCUCCACAAUACCCCUGGUAUUAUAGGGCACAGUCUCACUCAGAGGUCAUAAUAAGAGUUAAGUAGCAUGAAGCAAGUUGUUAAAGUGCCGAAGGCAAUUUUAGAUGAGAUGAACAAAAGGAAUAAAGGCUUAGCAUGCACUCCUGGGAAAAACAAGAUGUGUUUGACAAUACUGGAGGAUCCUGGGAGAAAAUUUUACGAUUAAUACUAUUCCACCCCUUUAUUUAACAUUUUUACUAGAGUAGAUGAAAACAGUCAUACCCAAAUGAGUAACAGAACCCUCUGAGCAUAAGUUUUUUUCUU
rnacentral:lncRNA from 1 species